UAAUCUCAUCCGAAUCCGUUGC
rnacentral:miRNA from 1 species